CCUACGGGAGGCAGCAGUAGGGAAUCUUCCACAAUGGGCGAAAGCCUGAUGGAGCAACGCCGCGUGGGUGAAGAAGGUCUUCGGAUCGUAAAACCCUGUUGUUAGAGAAGAAAGUGCGUGAGAGUAACUGUUCACGUUUCGACGGUAUCUAACCAGAAAGCAACGGCUAACUACGUGCCAGCAGCCGCGGUAAUACGUAGGUGGCAAACGUUAUCCGGAUUUAUUGGGCGUAAAGGGAACGCAGGCGGUCUUUUAAGUCUGAUGUGAAAUCCUUCGGCUUAACCGGAGUAGUGCAUUGGAUACUGGGAGACUUGAGUGCAGAAGAGGGGAGUGGAAUUCCAGGUGUAGCGGUGAAAUGCGUAGAGAUAUGGAAGAACACCAGUGGCGAAGGCGGCUCUCUGGACUGUGACGGACGCUGAGGUGCGAAAGCGUGGGUAGCAAACAGGAUUAGAUACCCGGGUAGUC
rnacentral:rRNA from 1 species